rnacentral:rRNA from 1 species
CCUACGGGCGGCAGCAGUGAGGAAUAUUGGUCAAUGGACGAGAGUCUGAACCAGCCAAGUAGCGUGAAGGAUGACUGCCCUAUGGGUUGUAAACUUCUUUUAUAUGGGAAUAAAAUGUUCCACGUGUGGGAUUUUGUAUGUACCAUAUGAAUAAGGAUCGGCUAACUCCGUGCCAGCAGCCGCGGUAAUACGGAGGAUCCGAGCGUUAUCCGGAUUUAUUGGGUUUAAAGGGAGCGUAGGUGGAUGGUUAAGUCAGUUGUGAAAGUUUGCGGCUCAACCGUAAAAUUGCAGUUGAAACUGGCAGUCUUGAGUACAGUAGAGGUGGGCGGAAUUCGUGGUGUAGCGGUGAAAUGCUUAGAUAUCACGAAGAACUCCGAUUGCGAAGGCAGUUCACUGGACUGCAACUGACACUGAGGCUCGAAAGUGUGGGUAUCAAACAGGAUUAGAUACCCCUGUAGUC